rnacentral:rRNA from 1 species
GUGGGGAAUUUUGGACAAUGGGCGCAAGCCUGAUCCAGCCAUGCCGCGUGAGUGAAGAAGGCCUUCGGGUUGUAAAGCUCUUUCGGCCGGGAAGAAAUCGGCGACUCUAACAUAGUCGCUGGAUGACGGUACCGGACUAAGAAGCACCGGCUAACUACGUGCCAGCAGCCGCGGUAAUACGUAGGGUGCGAGCGUUAAUCGGAAUUACUGGGCGUAAAGCGUGCGCAGGCGGUUUUGUAAGACAGAUGUGAAAUCCCCGGGCUUAACCUGGGAACUGCGUUUGUGACUGCAAGGCUAGAGUGCGGCAGAGGGGGGUGGAAUUCCUGGUGUAGCAGUGAAAUGCGUAGAUAUCAGGAGGAACACCGAUGGCGAAGGCAGCCCCCUGGGCCUGUACUGACGCUCAUGCACGAAAGCGUGGGGAGCAAACAGGAUUAGAUACCCUUGUAGUCC